CACUAACUAUACCAUUCAUGUGU
rnacentral:siRNA from 1 species